rnacentral:rRNA from 1 species
GAUGAACGCUGGCGGCGUGCCUAAUACAUGCAAGUCGAGCGAACAGACGAGGAGCUUGCUCCUCUGACGUUAGCGGCGGACGGGUGAGUAACACGUGGAUAACCUACCUAUAAGACUGGGAUAACUUCGGGAAACCGGAGCUAAUACCGGAUAAUAUAUUGAACCGCAUGGUUCAAUAGUGAAAGACGGUUUUGCUGUCACUUAUAGAUGGAUCCGCGCCGCAUUAGCUAGUUGGUAAGGUAACGGCUUACCAAGGCAACGAUGCGUAGCCGACCUGAGAGGGUGAUCGGCCACACUGGAACUGAGACACGGUACAGACUCCUACGGGAGGAAGCAGUAGGGAAUCUUCCGCAAAGGGCGAAAGCUUGACGGAGCAACGCCGCGUGAGUGAUGAAGGUCUUCGGAUCGUAAAACUCUGUUAUUAGGGAAGAACAAAUGUGUAAGUAACUAUGCACGUCUUGACGGUACCUAAUCAGAAAGCCACGGCUAACUACGUG